GGGCUCGUUCUUUUACGACGGAGCCUAAGAUAUUCUUUGUCUUGUCGGUGAGUGAGUUACAGUCGGAUGACCAAGUGAAAUAUAGGGGUGCAACGAGGAUUUGGAGGCUUCUGAGACUUGAACUUAGGGUACUGGUGUAAACUUCCUCGGAGAAGUGCGCAGCAGCUAAUGAUAUUUCGGGAUUGGAGUCUGGGCCCCAGUGAGAUUCGUACUAAGCGGCCUGACUGAAGGCCGCAUGCGUUCUAGUUCCUGAGUCCCCGCGUGGGUAGGUUUUUACAGCAGGGUUUGCAGCCUUUUGUGCUGUUCCGAAGGUACUAGAGUCACCGAAAGAGACAUCCUAUUAUAUGCACGUUCACAAGGACAAUGGCGCCAUUGUUCUUCGCGUCUUCAAAGCAGCUACAAGAAGAAACCAAGAUGGAGGGGAGCCCAAAGCAUCUGAGAGAAUUGAUAAAUGAAAGAAACAUGCUUAAAACAUGACCGUUUUAAAGGUGAAUGCUGACCAGUGAGAUGCCAGCCUGCGUGUGAAGAUCCUACAGCAGAAGUGCAUGGCCAGUGACACAAGAACUUGCGAGAGAUGCCAGUCCGCCUGUGAAGAUCCUGCAGCAGGAGUGCAUAGCCAGUGACACAAGACGUGCGAAUGAAAACUAGAUGUGACCAUCCAGAAAAAGCAUAGACAAAAAAAUGCAGUCUUAGUACUGGGAUGUUUGAGAUGGGGUCUAUCUACAUGUCUCUAGCUGUCCCUAUCAGGACAGCAUCUGGUGUGGCCUGCAGAGUUGAUUCCUGUACUUUUUUUUUUUUGUGGGCUGUAUGUAAAUGGAUUGUUUUGACAAUCCAUUCGACAGUGUUCUCUUCUGUGAAGGUCAUAGGUGAGCUGAUUGACAGACACAGCUGUACAGACUGAAUGCAAUCCUGACUAUAAAGCUGCAGUUCAUCAUUAUGAGCUAUUUCCUUAUUCUGGCAGUGAUUGAAAUAAAAUGGGGAGUAUUGAAAUAAAAAACAUUCAAUUGCAAA